CCAGGGAGUUGAUGGAUCCGGAACCUCUAGGACCCAGAGCCUGAGAAACAAAUCAGAAAUCGGGAGAAACCUAGCUGGGUUCCCCUACGCCGUAGCAACAGCAGGGCCUCUUUAACGGGCGCUUCAAACCACCAAUCCGAGCGGCCUAUGCUUUUUCAGCUGUAUAGAGCCAAACCAAUCAUAGCCAUGGAGCUGGAGCUGCAAGCGAACCAAUGGUGUAGCGGGACGACCAACCCGGCAGGGCAAAGGGCCGCCAGGAAACCGGUGAUGACGUGUGCCACAAUGUGUGCCGGCGGCGGAAGCUGGAAUAGACUGGGGAAUUAGCUUAACUGGUUGGACGCUUGCUUAGCAUGUAUAAGCGCUUCCUAGAGUCCCAUGAAAAUCAACACGGGCGCAGAAGUUAGAAGUGGGCGAGGAAAAGGACAAACCCUGGCAAGCCUGCGGCGACACGGUGACAACGAAGCCGUAGUCCAGGUUACUGCAGAAUCGCACGCGGGGGCUGCGCCUGAGCUGUCGACGGACGGAGGGCCGCCCUUUACUGAGCAGUCGCUUUGAGCCCACAGGGCGACCAGCCUCUGAGGUUCUGUUGGGGGUCCAUCCGUACACAUCUGGGGAACGUCGAGUGACAAUAAACUGAACGGUCGUU